AGUGGCGGACGGGUGAGUAACGCGUGAGAAUCUACCUUCAGGACGGGGACAACAGCUGGAAACGGCUGCUAAUACCCGAUAUGCCGAAAGGUGAAAAGUUAUUUCGCCUGGAGAGGAGCUCGCGUCCGAUUAGCUAGUUGGUGGGGUAAAAGCUUACCAAGGCAACGAUCGGUAGCUGGUCUGAGAGGAUGAGCAGCCACACUGGAACUGAGACACGGUCCAGACUCCUACGGGAGGCAGCAGUGGGGAAUUUUCCGCAAUGGGCGAAAGCCUGACGGAGCAACGCCGCGUGGGGGAAGAAGGUUUUUGGAUUGUAAACCCCUUUUCUCAAGGAAGAACAAAAUGACGGUACUUGAGGAAUCAGCCUCGGCUAACUCCGUGCCAGCAGCCGCGGUAAUACGGAGGAGGCAAGCGUUAUCCGGAAUUAUUGGGCUUAAAGCGUUCGUAGGCGGCUGUUCAAGUCUGCUGUCAAAGACCGAGGCUCAACCUCGGGUCGGCAGUGGAAACUGGAUAGCUAGAGGUCGGUAGGGGCAGAGGGAAUUCCCAGUGUAGCGGUGAAAUGCGUAGAUAUUGGGAAGAACACCGGUGGCGAAAGCGCUCUGCUGGGCCGAACCUGACGCUGAGGGACGAAAGCUAGGGGAGCGAAUGGGAUUAGAUACCCC
rnacentral:rRNA from 1 species